rnacentral:rRNA from 1 species
GGUUAAGCGACUAAGCGUACACGGUGGAUGCCCUGGCAGUCAGAGGCGAUGAAGGACGUGCUAAUCUGCGAAAAGCGCCGGUGAGGUGAUAUGAACCUUUGACCCGGCGAUGUCCGAAUGGGGAAACCCAGUGUGAUUCGUCACACUAUCGUUAACUGAAUACAUAGGUUAACGAGGCGAACCGGGGGAACUGAAACAUCUAAGUACCCCGAGGAAAAGAAAUCAACCGAGAUUCCCCCAGUAGCGGCGAGCGAACGGGGAGCAGCCCAGAGUCUGAAUCAGCUUGUGUGUUAGUGGAACGGUCUGGAAAGUCCGACGGUACAGGGUGAUAGUCCCGUACACGAAAGCACACUUGCUGUGAACUCGAAGAGUAGGGCGGGACACGUGGUAUCCUGUCUGAAUAUGGGGGGACCAUCCUCCAAGGCUAAAUACUCCUGACUGACCGAUAGUGAACCAGUACCGUGAGGGAAAGGCGAAAAGAACCCCGGCGAGGGGAGUGAAAAAGAACCUGAAACCGUGUACGUACAAGCAGUGGGAGCACCUUCGUGGUGUGACUGCGUACCUUUUGUAUAAUGGGUCAGCGACUUAUAUUCUGUAGCAAGGUUAACCGUAUAGGGGAGCCGAAGGGAAACCGAGUCUUAACUGGGCGUUAAGUUGCAGGGUAUAGACCCGAAACCCGGUGAUCUAGCCAUGGGCAGGUUGAAGGUUGGGUAACACUAACUGGAGGACCGAACCGACUAAUGUUGAAAAAUUAGCGGAUGACUUGUGGCUGGGGGUGAAAGGCCAAUCAAACCGGGAGAUAGCUGGUUCUCCCCGAAAGCUAUUUAGGUAGCGCCUCGUGAACUCAUCUUCGGGGGUAGAGCACUGUUUCGGCUAGGGGGCCAUCCCGGCUUACCAACCCGAUGCAAACUACGAAUACCGAAGAAUGUUAUCACGGGAGACACACGGCGGGUGCUAACGUCCGUCGUGAAGAGGGAAACAACCCAGACCGCCAGCUAAGGUCCCAAAGUCAUGGUUAAGUGGGAAACGAUGUGGGAAGGCACAGACAGCCAGGAUGUUGGCUUAGAAGCAGCCAUCAUUUAAAGAAAGCGUAAUAGCUCACUGGUCGAGUCGGCCUGCGCGGAAGAUGUAACGGGGCUAAACCAUGCACCGAAGCUGCGGCAGCGACGCUUAUGCGUUGUUGGGUAGGGGAGCGUUCUGUAAGCCGUUGAAGGUGGCCUGUGAGGGUUGCUGGAGGUAUCAGAAGUGCGAAUGCUGACAUAAGUAACGAUAAUGCGGGUGAAAAGCCCGCACGCCGGAAGACCAAGGGUUCCUGUCCAACGUUAAUCGGGGCAGGGUGAGUCGACCCCUAAGGCGAGGCCGAAAGGCGUAGUCGAUGGGAAACAGGUUAAUAUUCCUGUACUUGGUGUUACUGCGAAGGGGGGACGGAGAAGGCUAUGUUAGCCGGGCGACGGUUGUCCCGGUUUAAGCAUGUAGGCGGAGGUUCCAGGUAAAUCCGGUACCUUAUUAACGCUGAGGUGUGAUGACGAGGCACUACGGUGCUGAAGUAACAAAUGCCCUGCUUCCAGGAAAAGCCUCUAAGCAUCAGGUAACAUCAAAUCGUACCCCAAACCGACACAGGUGGUCAGGUAGAGAAUACCAAGGCGCUUGAGAGAACUCGGGUGAAGGAACUAGGCAAAAUGGUGCCGUAACUUCGGGAGAAGGCACGCUGAUAUGUAGGUGAAGCCCCUGCGGGUGGAGCUGAAAUCAGUCGAAGAUACCAGCUGGCUGCAACUGUUUAUUAAAAACACAGCACUGUGCAAACACGAAAGUGGACGUAUACGGUGUGACGCCUGCCCGGUGCCGGAAGGUUAAUUGAUGGGGUUAGCGGCAACGCGAAGCUCUUGAUCGAAGCCCCGGUAAACGGCGGCCGUAACUAUAACGGUCCUAAGGUAGCGAAAUUCCUUGUCGGGUAAGUUCCGACCUGCACGAAUGGCGUAAUGAUGGCCAGGCUGUCUCCACCCGAGACUCAGUGAAAUUGAACUCGCUGUGAAGAUGCAGUGUACCCGCGGCAAGACGGAAAGACCCCGUGAACCUUUACUAUAGCUUGACACUGAACACUGGUCCUUGAUGUGUAGGAUAGGUGGGAGGCUUUGAAGCGUGGACGCCAGUCUGCGUGGAGCCAUCCUUGAAAUACCACCCUUUAAUGGCUGGUGUUCUAACGUAGACCCGUGAUCCGGGUUGCGGACAGUGUCUGGUGGGUAGUUUGACUGGGGCGGUCUCCUCCCAAAGAGUAACGGAGGAGCACGAAGGUUAGCUAAUCCUGGUCGGACAUCAGGAGGUUAGUGCAAUGGCAUAAGCUAGCUUGACUGCGAGAGUGACGGCUCGAGCAGGUGCGAAAGCAGGUCAUAGUGAUCCGGUGGUUCUGAAUGGAAGGGCCAUCGCUCAACGGAUAAAAGGUACUCCGGGGAUAACAGGCUGAUACCGCCCAAGAGUUCAUAUCGACGGCGGUGUUUGGCACCUCGAUGUCGGCUCAUCACAUCCUGGGGCUGAAGUAGGUCCCAAGGGUAUGGCUGUUCGCCAUUUAAAGUGGUACGCGAGCUGGGUUUAGAACGUCGUGAGACAGUUCGGUCCCUAUCUGCCGUGGGCGCUGGAGAAUUGAGGGGGGCUGCUCCUAGUACGAGAGGACCGGAGUGGACGCAUCACUGGUGUUCGGGUUGUCAUGCCAAUGGCACUGCCCGGUAGCUAAAUGCGGAAAAGAUAAGUGCUGAAAGCAUCUAAGCACGAAACUUGCCCCGAGAUGAGUUCUCCCUGAGACUUUAAGUCUCCUGAAGGAACGUUGAAGACUACGACGUUGAUAGGUCGGGUGUGUAAGCGCAGCGAUGCGUUGAGCUAACCGAUACUAAUGAACCGUGAGGCUUAACCUU